UUUUAUCUAUCUCCAUGUGAGAGUUUGGAGACUUUAUUUUUGGGUUUUUGUGUAAUUCAAGAUGUUGAUUUGUUGAUCGAAAUUUGUGCGGAGUUGCAACAGAUGUCAAGACUUCAUCUACAAUCACUUGAAUUAAAUCUAGUUCAAUUUCAAAACUACAAAAGAUCGACAAACCCCCUUGCAGAAGGCUGCAUUAGACAGCGAUGUGAAAGACAAGGGUUUUCAGAUUGUUAGAUCUACUCAACGAUCGUGGUUUUGUCAUAUUAGAAUUGUAUUUAUUUCAUUUUGAUAUGUAUUUGUUUAUUUUCUACUUUUAUUGUAAAUGUCGUAUGACUUUCAAUCAAUGAAUUAAUGUUAAUUUUAAAAAAAAAAAACCAACCCGACCUUCACACAGAAAAAAAAGAGACGAGGAGAAGAGUCAGAGAAACCAAAAAAGAGUCACGAAGAGAAACCAAAAAAAGAAAAACAAGACAUACAAACUAGGACACGAAGAGUCAGAGACGAGGAAACCUUCACACACAAAAAAACCGAGGAAACCUUCACAGACACAAAAACACAAAAAAACGAGGAAACCUUCAAUUCCAUAUAUUUUCAUAAAGCUGAUAUUGCAUUUGAUCUCUUCUCUACCUUCUUCACAUGUUGUUUCGCUUUAGGUCCCAUCAUACUGCCGCCGGUGGGCAUGGCCGGAGUCCACGUCGCCGACGUUGUCAUCAUCCGCCAUUUCGGCCUCGCGACAACAACAUUCACGGUCCGUUUGGUAGUUGGUUAUAAAUGGUGGUAAUGGGAAUGAAUUUGUAUGUAAAUUUGUGAAGAAAAUUAUGGUUCAUCCCCAUGGUAAUGUUAAUUUAUCCUAUAGUGUCUAUUUUUCUUCUUGAAUUUUCAUUCCCAUCUAAUACCACCUUGUUAGGUGGUAAUGAGUGGUAAUGAAAAUUAGGGGUGAGUUUGUUUCCCCAUGGAGAAAAAACACAAAUUUGGGGGUUGAAAUUGCCUCCCAAUGAAGAUUUUAAGAGUGCUUCCCUUAUAAGCUACACUUAAAAUCCAUUCUCAUUACCGCAAUUUAUUAACGACUACCAAACGGGUCAUUAGGGUUUGAUAAUAUUUAUAUGCACGCGAUGCGUGCGAAAAUACGACAUAGAAAAUUAAAUUAAUUGUUAAUUAUAUCGAAAAAAUUAGGGAUACUUGAAUAGUUGAUGGUUUUCUUUUUGUAAUGUCUUUUUUUAUUUUAAAAAUUAAUUAGUAAGUUUUCCUUUUCAUUUUUGAAUUUUUUAUUUUUUAAUUAAAGUAAGUAAUUAGAAUAGAAAUGUAAUGAGGGUAAAAUGGGGUUUUUAAUAUUUUGGUGUCCUACCCCUCUUCCCAUAUACUCCUUCCGUUUCCUAAAGAUCUUCCCACUUACUGUUCCUACAGAUACCAAGGAAAAUCAAGUUGUGUGGGGCAUGGUGUGAGUAGAGUAGGAGAGAUAAAGGGGUUAAGAUAAAUAAACAAAUAAAAAGGGGUUAAAGUGGGAGAGAGAAAGGGAGUAAAAUUGAAUUAACAAUGUAAUGGUGGACCCUUUGAUAGUGACAUGAGAGGGUAAAUAGGGAAAUUUGUUUUGCCAAAUAAGGAAUAAAGCAAAAGAGGGAAGAUUUUUUGGAAACACCCUUAAAGAGGGAAGAUCAGUAACAUCAACAUCAGAGACAGGUUAGGGGUUUAAUGCUUGACUUGUUUCGGUUGUUGGUGAUAACAUUUUCACUCUUGUUUCAGACGGGUUCGGCUCAAUGUUGUGAUUUAUGGUGCUGAUUAGCUUUUUUUAGAGCUUUUGAUUUUUCUUAGCUAGGCUAUGCUUAGUUUUCGUUUUGAAUUGUUCUUGGCUUGUAAAUUAUACGCAAUUUCACUCUCUUCUAUUUCAAAUUUUUGAUUCAUAGUAAAAAAAAACUAUACUGAUCUUAAUGUUAGAAGGGUCUCAAAUGGGUUAUGCUUACUUGUGUUCCUCUAAUUUUUGGGUGCAUAAAGCUGAGUCUCAUCAUUUUUAUAAUUUCAAGUUUUAGGGUUCAGUUUGUUUUUUGCUUGGCAAAUGAUUGUUUUAAGAUGAUCAACUUGUUAUUUCUUAAUUCUUAUACUCUUGUUUCAGAUGGGUUGCAGUCAUUCAUCUGCUUAAUGCUCUAAGAGUCUAAGUAGGUGCUCCCCUUCCCCACCCUCUUACACAAAAACAACUACCAUAUUAAGUAAGAAACUUAAUUGAGUUUAAAUGUGUUAGUGAUGAUAAAAAGCACUCAGACGGACCUGACCCUUUGGUUUAUAAACUCUGCACUAUGAAUAUAUUGGAGCUUGGAAAUUUGUAUAGUCUGCACUAUGAAUAUAUUGGAGCUUGGAAUGCACUCAAUAACAUAAAUAGAAUCCUUAAGUUAGUAUGUUUUACUAGAUCAUGUAAAGUAAUUUGCAAACAAUGAAGGCGUAAAAGAGUUUUGGCCAUAAGCAAAGCUAAUAGUGAGAAAAACUAUGAAGGCGCCCAUCAGUUUCUCUUUUUAUGUCCUUUCACUCAUUAUGAGUCUUUCAUGGUUCCUUUACACAUUCUUUGUGUUGCAGUCCUUUAUCUGCUUAAUAAAGCGAACAUCUCAUGAAUGUUACAAGCUAAAUGCUAAAAGAGAAUUAUUGGUGGUUGUGCAAAAACAAUCCAAGUGAGAAAAUUGUUGCUGCUGGUGGGCUUAGUUGCUUGUUAAUGCUUCUUAGAAGCUGUGAAGCUGAGCCGUGUAGCAGCUGGAGCAAUUGUCAAUCUUGCAAUGAUUGGUGAAUGGUUGCUUCCUUUCAUUCAAGCAAGUUGGGUCCUGUUUGUGUUUCGUCCUACUGUUCUGGAUGGCCACGCCCUUGUGUCAAAUCUUACUGAUACUUGCAGAAGCCAAUCAAGAACUCGUAGUAGCCAAAGGUAAAAUCAGUUUCUUGUCAAAUAACAGCUGAUGAUGCAGAAGAUCCACGAACUCUUCAUGUGGUUGCUGGAGUAAUGAGUACUCUAUUUGGAAAUAGUAUGGCUUAUCUAUGAUGCAGAAGAUCCACAAACUCUUGUCCAUAAUUUUUCUUGUGUUUCAGUCCCGUUAGUGUUCCUUAGCCUUGUGUUAUAAGCAUAGUUUUCUAGUUAGGGGAUUUUUCUACAAAAACUGCCAAUUGCUAUUUGUUUUAACUACUUUUGAGGCUUUUAACAGGAUGCUGGUCCUCAUAUU